CCUACGGGAGGCAGCAGUGGGGAAUAUUGGGCAAUGGGCGCAAGCCUGACCCAGCAACGCCGCGUGAAGGAAGACGGCUUUCGGGUUGUAAACUUCUUUUCUCAGGGACGAAGCAAGUGACGGUACCUGAGGAAUAAGCCACGGCUAACUACGUGCCAGCAGCCGCGGUAAUACGUAGGUGGCAAGCGUUAUCCGGAUUUACUGGGUGUAAAGGGAGUGUAGGCGGGCCUGCAAGUCAGAUGUGAAAAUCACGGGCGCAACCUGUGGGCUGCAUUUGAAACUGUAGUUCGUGAGUACUGGAGAGGCAGACGGAAUUCCUGGUGUAGCGGUGAAAUGCGUAGAUAUUAGGAGGAACGCCAGUGGCGAAGGCGGUCUGCUGGACAGCAACUGACGCUGAGGCGCGAAAGCGUGGGGAGCAAACAGGAGUAGAUACCCGGGUAGUC
rnacentral:rRNA from 1 species